UGGCUGGAAAGGCUGCAAAUUAAGCUGUUGAUUCUAAAUUUGCGACCUAUAUCCAGGCCACG
rnacentral:pre_miRNA from 1 species